UACGUAGGGUGCAAGCGUUAUCCGGAAUUACUGGGCGUAAAGCGUGUGUAGGUGGUUUGUUAAGUUAAAUGUUAAAUCUUCAGGCUCAACUUGAAGGCUGCAUUUAAUACUGGCAGACUUGAGGACGGUAGAGGUAAGUAGAAUUAGUGGUGUAGCGGUAAUAUGCGUAGAUAUCACUAGGAAUACCAAUGGCGAAGGCAGCUUACUGGUCCGUACCUGACACUGAGACACGAAAGCGUGGGGAGCGAACGGG
rnacentral:rRNA from 1 species